CUUUCAAAUAGGAGCCAUAUUUGUGAAGGAUAGACGGAAAUUUAUCAGGAGUUUGUCAGGUGCCAUGGAGAAAUCUCAUUUUCAACGCAUCUAUUUGCAUCUGGGCUCUAAUGAUGCUCUGGUUGACCAGUCUCUGUUGUUCAGACAUGUUGUGAAAACCUGUGACGUCAUACACGAGAUCAGCCCAGACACAGAGAUUGUUAUCUGCUCUGUGUUGCCUCGUGAUGUUGACAGAAAAGAUGGCCGGUCUAUAUCACAGGACAAAAUGACUGCUAUUUAACGCUGGAUACUUCAGGCCAACCAGUUGUUGAAAGAUUUGACUAACAGCACAACCUUCAUCCGGUUUAUAGAGUAUAGGAAGGUGGCCAACCUGCUGACGGCUGAUGGUCUGCAUUUGAGCCAAGCAAGUGCCAAGAACUGUCUCGAGUGCAUUGUCCAAGAUGUUCUCCAGCAUGCAGAGGUCAAGGAGUCUGCCAGCCUUGAGGCUGACCCUCUGUCCGGUCCCUGGCCUUCUCUUGGCACUGCAAACACUGAUGAUGCCUCAUUGACAAAGACUUUUGCAGCUGUAGUUCAUGAGCUCGCUGCCAAGAACUUCAUGGAGAAGACGAAACCUAUUAAACUCAAAGAAGGUCCUCUAAAUAAAAAGGUUUGCACUUGUAAAAAGCCAAGAAGACCAAUACUAGGGCGGAAGGAGAUUGCUGUGACAUCUGACAGCCAUGGGAGAAGGCAUAUUCUAGGACAGAAUGAGUUUCAGAAGGUUUCGAAUUUCCAAAGAAGGGACCGACUGUCAA